rnacentral:rRNA from 1 species
CCUACGGGGGGCUGCAGUGGGGAAUAUUGCACAAUGGGCGAAAGCCUGAUGCAGCGACGCCGCGUGGGGGAUGAAGGCCUUCGGGUUGUAAACCCCUUUCAGCAGGGAAGAAGCGAAAGUGACGGUACCUGCAGAAGAAGCGCCGGCUAACUACGUGCCAGCAGCCGCGGUAAUACGUAGGGCGCAAGCGUUGUCCGGAUUUAUUGGGCGUAAAGAGCUCGUAGGUGGUCUGUCGCGUCCGCUGUGAAAACCCGAGGCUCAACCUCGGGCCUGCAGUGGGUACGGGCAGACUAGAGUGCGGUAGGGGAGACUGGAAUUCCUGGUGUAGCGGUGGAAUGCGCAGAUAUCAGGAGGAACACCGAUGGCGAAGGCAGGUCUCUGGGCCGCAACUGACACUGAGGAGCGAAAGCAUGGGGAGCGAACAGGAUUAGAUACCCUAGUAGUC